rnacentral:rRNA from 1 species
AGUAAGGAAUAUUGCGCAAUGGACGACAGUCUGACGCAGCGACGCCGCGUGGGGGAUGAAGGUCUUCGGAUUGUAAACCCCUUUCGGGUGGAAAGAUGGCUCUCGACAACGAGAGCGGACGGUACCACCAGAAGCAGCCACGGCCAACUUCGUGCCAGCAGCCGCGGUAAUACGAAGGUGGCAAGCGUUGUUCGGAUUCACUGGGCGUACAGGGUGUGUAGGCGGUUCGGUAAGCCCUCUGGGAAAGCUCCUGGCUCAACCGGGAAAGUUCAGGGGGGACUGCCGGGCUAGAGGACGGGAGA